GAUGAACGCUGGCGGCGUGCUUAACACAUGCAAGUCGAACGAUGAAGCCCAGCUUGCUGGGUGGAUUAGUGGCGAACGGGUGAGUAACACGUGAGUAACCUGCCCUUAACUCUGGGAUAAGCCUGGGAAACUGGUUCUAAUACCGGAUAGGAGCGUCCACCGCAUGGUGGGUGUUGGAAAGAUUUAUCGGUUUUGGAUGGACUCGCGGCCUAUCAGCUUGUUGGUGAGGUAAUGGCUCACCAAGGCGACGACGGGUAGCCGGCCUGAGAGGGUGACCGGCCACACUGGGACUGAGACACGGCCCAGACUCCUACGGGAGGCAGCAGUGGGGAAUAUUGCACAAUGGGCGCAAGCCUGAUGCAGCGACGCCGCGUGAGGGAUGACGGCCUUCGGGUUGUAAACCUCUUUCAGUAGGGAAGAAGCGAAAGUGACGGUACCUGCAGAAGAAGCACCGGCUAACUACGUG
rnacentral:rRNA from 1 species